rnacentral:rRNA from 1 species
UACGUAGGGGGCAAGCGUUGUCCGGAGUUACUGGCGUAAAGCGCACGCAGGCGGUCUCUUAAGUUUGGAGUGACAGUUGGUGGCUUAACUGCCAAAGUGCUUCGAAAACUGAGAGACUUGAGGGCUUCAGAGGGACACGGAAUUCCGGGUGGAGUGGUGAAAUGGCGUAGAGAUCCGGAGGAACACCAAAGGACGAAGGCAGUGUCCUGGGGAGUACCUGACCGCUCGAGGUGCGAAGCCAGGGAGCGAACGGG